UACACCACCGCAUUGACAGUUUUACACGUAAUUUUCACCGUGACCUUCAAGCGUGCAGGAAAUGCAAACUGGCCGGCACGUCUGAAGCUUGAACUCUAAAAUGAAAUAGACCCUCUAGAAGAAGCAUCUCCAUGACACGGCAGCGAUCACGUGGAGAAAGGCAAAAGAUCUUCGGUAUGCUUUCACAAAAUAAAUCAAAGUAGAUUAAAAAAUGCGUGUAUUAAUCAUAAUAACAAGGAAUAAUUAUAAUAAUACACAAUCAUUCUUAAGUAGUUAAGCUACAGACUUAAGACUCAAAAAUCAAACCGUGGCUAAAUGUGCACCGUAAAAACUCGACUGGAAAAAAAAACUUCACACACAGAAGCAAAUGUAACAUCCGACUGUAAUACUCUGGGCUGGGCAUCAGUGUGAAAUUUGUGAAUCUGGUUGCGAAGUCAAUACCCAGCUAUGAUGCAAUACCUAAAUGAGAUCUUGACAUGACAGCAGACAAGCUUCGUGGACACAUUA